rnacentral:rRNA from 1 species
GACGAACGCUGGCGGCGUGCCUAACACAUGCAAGUCGAGCGAUGAAAUUAGAAACGGAGUCUUCGGACGAAGUGGAAAAUGGAUUAGCGGCGGACGGGUGAGUAACACGUGAGCAACCUGCCUAUCACAUCGGGAUAGCCUCGGGAAACUGGGAUUAAUACCGAAUGAAACAUAAUCACUGCCUAGUGGAAAUGUCAAAGAUUUAUCGGUGAUAGAUGGGCUCGCGUCUGAUUAGCUAGUUGGUGAGGUAAUGGCUCACCAAGGCGACGAUCAGUAGCCGGCCUGAGAGGGUGAACGGCCACAUUGGGACUGAGACACGGCCCAAACUCCUGCGGGAGGCAGCAGUGGGGAAUAUUGCACAAUGGAGGGAACUCUGAUGCAGCGACGCCGCGUGAGCGAUGAAGGCUUUCGAGUCGUAAAGCUCUGUCGAAUGGGAAGAUAAUGACGGUACCAUUUGAGAAAGCCCCGGCUAACUACGUGCCAGCCGCCGCGGUAA